GACGGGGGGGGCAAGUGUUCUUCGGAAUGACUGGGCGUCAAGGGCACGUAGGCGGUGAAUCGGGUUGAAAGUGAAAGUCGCCAAAAAGUGGCGGAAUGCUCUCGAAACCAAUUCACUUGAGUGGGACAGAGGAGAGUGGAAUUUCGUGUGUAGGGGUGAAAUCCGUAGAUCUACGAAGGAAGGCCAAAAGCGAAGGCAGCUCUCUGGGUCCCUACUGACGCUGAGACGCGAAAGCUAGGGUAGCGAACGGG
rnacentral:rRNA from 1 species